rnacentral:tRNA from 1 species
GAGAGGUCCGUGCACGCUAAGAUACUGCUAAUAUUUUAAGCCCCCGGUUAGACUCCGCGGCUCACUCA